AUGCCACUACAUGUUUGCCACCUUAUUUUGGGGCGUCCGUGGCAGCAUGAUGUUAACGCUCUUCAUCAUGGGCGAACAAACAGGUACACUUUUAUGCAUAAGGGUGAGUUCUAUGCUAUUCUUUCUAAGGAUGCACAGAAUAUAAAGUGUACUACGGAAGUGUUCAAGAAGAAAUCUCCAAGGCCUAAGUCGAAACCGAGGACGGUUUCUUUUCAAGGGAGGGAGGAUGGUGUGACCCCAUGUGCCUUCUCAAAUGAUACUGUUAAUACAACAAAUCAUCAAGGAAUAAAGGAGAGAUAUGUCGUGCUAGCACGGCGUCCGAAAAGGAGAGAGCAUUCUGUUGUUUAUAGCACCCACCAGGCAGUUCAGGCGAGCAAGUUUUAUCAUGGCAGCGAGAUGGUGACAAAUAAAUUUAAUGGGGCAACUUCAAUCCGAACUGCACCAACAGAUGAUGUUGAAUCGAAGUUCAGAACACCGUGCUGA
rnacentral:rRNA from 1 species